UUGAUUUUUUUAACUGUCGAAUAAUAGUACAAUAACAUCGGGCUCGAAGUCGGGCUCGAUGAACAAUUAAUUUAAACAACACGCCGAAAUUCAAAAAUAUCGAAUGCCAUGUUGAUGUUGCACAGAAGGAAAGUUGGAAAGAGGGUGUCUAGAACAGGGGAAUCAUGUUUAGCUUUGGAUGGAAGAAGAUGAAGACAUUUUAAGACCUGUUGCUGCAUAGUGCCUGAGAUGAUCACCACAGCGAUGGCGUUUUAUAACUUGGUGGAUGUAGAUGCUUAGCCAAUCAGUCACUAGGCUUGUGACUAUGAUCAAACAUGCUGCAAUCAUCUACUAUGAAGUAACCAUCCAUUCUACAGGAAUCCCUAUGCUCACAAGGACAAAAGCUGUACGAAAAAAAACCCAAAAGAAAUUGUGCAAGGAAAGUUUGAAGUGUCUGUGGGAAUGAUCAUCAUCCAACUUUCUGAGCCUUCGUACUGAAAAUGAAUGCGUUUGUGACACCAAUUAUCUGUCAACCCUAUAACAUAACCAUUUACUAAUUUCAUGGGAUAUCAGGGAGGAAGUGAUUCUCUAGCAAACACGUCGGAAGUUUUGGAUCUUCAUUAAUUGGGAUCUUUGGCACGUACGUUGGGGGAAAAUACUUUAGCAUCUGUUGAUUUUAUGGGAUCUUUGUAUCAAUAUAGUUGUGUAGUACAUAUUUUUUGCAUUUAAUACAUGUGUUUGUCACUCUAGUCAUUAACUCUGUACCAGUACAUAAGCCACUGGCAGUUCAUUGUAAAUGUAUACUCUGUUGAGGUUUCGAUGACCUCUCCAAUUCCAUGUCCAAUGUCAUUUAAUAAAACUAACUUCUUAUUUUAGAAAAUGCAGACUGGAGUAUACUAAAUACAUGUAUAUCUUAACAUGAUUAUCAUUAAUUUAAUCAAGGUGAUUCUCCAGUAAUCAUAUUCUUCUCUGGAUAUUUUUGUAAAUAACCUUUGUUGUAAAAUACUUCCAGUGAGAAUACAUUUAAAAAGUGUGCUUAUAUUGUACAUCUGAGA